rnacentral:lncRNA from 1 species
CUGACUGGUAUAAACUAAUGGAUUAAAUUGAAAAUACAGGAAAUUUUGAAGGGCUUAACAAGUAAUUAAUCCCAACUAUAGUAAUAACUAACUUAACUACUAGUUAUAGAACUAAGAAAAACCAAAAAAUGAUCAAGAAAAUAAACCCUAAGCUAUGGAAAAGAAGAACUAAACUCUAAAAGAUAAAUAGAAAUAUGUAAAACUAGAUAACGUGAAGUGUGUCCCUUUUUCAGCCAAUUUUGGCCUCUUUUAGGAUUUUUUUUGACCCAACAUUUAUGCCCCAAAUGCCGUUUAGAAUGUGUUUUUUUAUUGGUGUUGAAGUUGGACAAGGUCUGCCAUUGUAGUCAUUUUUUGUUUCUUCACGUCAGGGGUAUCGUGAUACCCAUGGUUUGAUAUCGCGAUACCCAUGUUGGUUUUGACUUGGGAGAAUCCUUGGGAGUUGGGUAUCGUGAUACCAUUAUAGUUGACCUUGAUCUUCUUCAAUUCAACACUAUUCAGGGUAUCAUAUGUAACACCCCUUACCCGUAUCCAAGGCUGGAACAGAGUACGAGGCAUUACCAGACUUAACAAUACACAUUGACGAAAACUAGGCCAUAAAAUUUCAUUUAAUUCAAAACUUUUCGAACACAUGCAUAACAAACAAAACUAACUAUAUCAUCACAUCAAAACAUAGGACAUGGCACGAUUAAUUAAACUUAUAAAUCAUAAUGGAUAAGGACUACAUCUCAUGAUCAUAUACGAUAACUCAAUGCAGACUGAUACGUAUGGCCAAAAUCAUAAUAAAAAUACAUAUCACAAACCAACUUCCUAUACAUGCCACUCACUUGAUAUUUCUAAUAUUUGAAUUAAUUCUCCCAAAAUGAUAGUUUGAUAGUGUGAUUUUGCCUCCGACGAUCUCUAACCCCGAGCCGACCUGCCAAUACUAAAGAAAUGGAGAGGAUGGGUAAGCUUUACGCUUAGUAAGUUCAUAUGAAAAUAAUAAGUUCAUAUGAAAAUAAUAAGCAAUUACUACCACGAUUUUCAAGAUAAAACACUAUAAUUGUACAAUUACACAUGUUCAGGUUAAGCUGUGUUAUCGAGUUACAGUUACUAAAUCAUUCAUAUCUGAAGCUAAAAAACUCCAAAUUUAGUUUCGUUAAUUUUCCUUGAAACUAGAUUCAUAUAUAUUUCUCCCUUAAAAUUUUCAGAAUUUUUGGUUUAGCCAAUUAGUACAGUUUAUUCAUUAAAGUUUCCCCUGUUUCAGGGUACGACUACUCUGACCCCUGUGCACUACGAACCAAAUUUCUCCCUGCACAGAAUUUAAUCGACCAUGCCGUUUGUUUCUCUUAAAAAUAGACUCAAUAAGGAAUCCAUGCAUGUAAGGUAUGACUCUUAAUAAUUUUUUUACAAUUUAUGGUGAAUUUCUAAAGUCAGAACAGGGGAUCUUGAAUUUAUUCUGACACUGUAUCACAAAAAUUAUAAUAUCACAUAAUAUAUUAUUCUUUUGCUCCCCCUGUUUGUUUUAUAUGAAAAUAGACUCAUUAAUCUUUAAUUCCAUAAUUUUUUGAAAUUUAAUUCAGCUUACACAAUUUUUGGUAAAUUUUCAAAGUCAUGCACUGCUGCUGUUCAACACUGUUUUACUACUAAAGUUAACUUUUACACAAUUCACUUAAUCCAUUCCAUUUUACCGAGGUUUGCAUAAUCAUAUAUUCGCAUAAAUUCAAAUAAACAUAUACUUGCACUUGUUCAUCACAUAAUCACUUUCACAUGUAUUUUCAUUUAAUCGAUUUCCCGUUGAACUCAUCGGAAUAAUAACAGAUACACAAUUGCCUGCACAUUUUCCCAUUUCCACACUUGUAGCCGAAGCUAUCUGGUACGCAUAGUAGCCUGCACUUAGUACUACACAUGCGACCAAUAAUCUGGUACACCUAGUAGCCUGCACUUAUUACUACACACGUGAUCACAGUUUUCGGGUACGCAUAGUAGCCUGCACUUAGUACUACACAUGCGACCAAUUAUCCGGUACACGUAGUAGCCUGCACUUAGUACUACACCCGUGACCUCACAAUAGUUCAUUUGUAUCGUUUCUAUUCUGAAGGUUCAACCGGGAAAUUCCUCACUUUUCAACAUUUUACUAAAUUAUCCGUAAUCAAUUUAAAUUCAUAACUUACAUCAAAUAAGCAGCCACAUUUCAAAUGAUAUCAAAAUAUAAUAACAUAAAAUGAAUCGAUAAAUUAUUUAUGUACGAACUUACUCGAAGUGUCGAUUUCACUAUCCAUAGUACCAAUUGUCCAUUCAUAGUAUAAUAAGACAUAACUCAAAUAUCAAAUCAGCUUUUAAGAAUUUACAUAACAUAUAUCACAUAUUUCAUAUAUCACUUGUUAUGUAUCAUCAUUUUCUUGCAUUUCAUGUAACAUUCUUUCAUGUCAUAUUUUCACAUCUUAAACACCAUUUUAUCAACUUUUCCAAUAUAUUAAAUCAUACAAUAUAUGCAAUAAUAGUAAGAAAUAUAAUUCAAACAUAACAUUGCAUUAUUAUUAUCAUACGAACUUACCUCGAUCCAGAAACGACAAUUUACCAUUUUAAUCCAUAACCUUGUAUUUUCUAGAUUUAAGCCCGAAUCUCGAUUUCCUUCAUCUAUAAUAUCACAUUUAGCCUAAUAAUUAGUUACACUAUUCAUACGGGUCCAAAAAUCAUAUUUUUACAAAUUUUCAUUUUGACCCCUAAACUUUUGCAUAUUUUCACUUUUGCCCCAAGGUUCGGAAAUUAAACUUCAUCCUAUUUUCUUAUGUUUUAUGACAUGCUGAUCAUUUUCCCCUUCUAUGGUAACAUCAAAUUCUCACUCUAACAUGUACUUAUGACUAUUAGGUAUUUUUACCGAUUAAGCCAUUUUACUCGUUUUCACUUAAAACCGAGUAGCACAAGUUGUCUAACAUAAUUUAAAAAAUCAUAUUCUAUCAUAAAACAUCAAAAUACACAAAUUUCACCUAUGGGUAUUUUUCCAAUUAUGAACCCUAGGUUGAAUUAUUGCUAGCAUAAGCUAAAUCAAGUUACCGGGACUCCAAAAAAGUAAAAAUCAUUAAAAACGAGGCUAGAACGAACUUACAAUCGAGCUUGGAAGCUUGGAAACCCUAGCCAUGGAGUAUCCCUCGGUAUACACGUCCAUGGUGAAGAAGAUGAACAAAAUUGGCUUUUAAUUUUGUAUUUUAAUUCAUUUUACCCCUAAAUGACCAAAAUGCCCUUUUUACUAAACUUUCCAAAAAUUCCAUCCAUGUCCAAUUUUUGUCCAUAAACUUAGAAAUUGGUCAAAUUGUUAUUUAAGACCUCCUAAUUAAUAUUUCAAAGCAAUUUCAUACUAGAAACUUCUAGAAUGUAAGUUUUGCAACUUAUUCAAUUUAGUCCCUAACUUCAAAUUAAGCACUUUAUGCAUAGAAUUUCUUCACGAAAUUUUUACACAAUCAUGAAAUCAUAUCAUAGACCUCAAAAUAAUCAUAAAAUAAUUAUUUCUAUCUCAGAUUUGUGGUCACAAAACUACUAUUCCAAUUAGGCCCUAAUUCAGGGUAUUACAUCACAACUUCUAGGCUUCGAUACCGCAAUAUCCCUUGCUAGGUGAUAUUUUCACUCACAUUUGGGCCUCUGAUGACUCUCUACAAUACUCAAUCAACCAUUAGGUCCCCUAUGACGCAUUUGACCAUUUUGGGACUCAAAAGUGGUAUAAAACACACUAUUUCACUUAUUAAUGCAAAGAAUGAAAACUAAGUAAAAACACAAUAAAAAAAUAUAAAUUGCUCAGAAACAAGCUCUUUUAGCGUACUGGGGAGCCUAAUUUGACCUAUCAAAUUAGGACAUAUCAAAUAGGGAUGAUGGUGUGAAAUAAAGAUGAUCUUCUUAUUAACGGCGUUGGGAAGAAAUCUAGAACUAAUAGCGUAGAUGUAGCAAAAGCUCUGGCACUUAAGUUGAGAGUAAAGCUGCCAGUUAAAAAUAGAUAUGAGAAAGUCACGUUUGAGUCAGAUUUUAAAAUAGUGAUUGAUGCAAUACAUAAGAAAGGAAAAUGUUCAAGAUGGAAGCUUGACCUUGUUCUGAAAAGAAUUGAUGAAAUGCCGAGAAGUUUACUUGAUGUUAAGUUUAAUCUGGUGAAGAGAACUACUAACUGUGUAGCAAAUUAGGUGGCUA